CCUCCGGGGCGGCCCCCGGGAGGAGAGCACCAUCCGCUCCACCCGCGCCACCCACGCCAUCCGCGCGCCACCCCUGCCAGGCGGCCACGUAAAGGACCAUGGGGACGCUUACUGCCCAGGGACUGUGGCGGGGGGCGCAAACGGGACUGCCUGGGCCCCUCCAUUUUAGGCCUCUGAGGAGGGCCCACGGUUCUGCAUCCCAUACCACACAAAACAAAAAACAAAACAAAAAAACUUUACAGCCUAGUCAUUUUCCGCGGAAUCCAGAGAAUCACCAGAGUCUGGCAAACCUGUUGCCUACGAUUAGCCAGAAAGAGGGAAAACCCGAAAGAGUGGGUGCUACCGCAGGAUUUACCAGGCCCUGUGCAGGAAGAUAGGCACCGACAGGUUGGAAUGGGGGCUAGUGGGUGUAACUCUUUUGUGGAAAUAGGGAAUACGCCAUGGCACACCUGCUGCGUAGCCAAGCUUGGAAACUAAAAAGGAGCUUCCUGAGAUGUAACCUGAACCCUGAAUGGAAUGGCAGAGGAUUGGCCUGCUUCUUCCAUCCUCCCUGUCUGCCCAGCAGCACCUGCGAUGACACUCGUGUGACCCAGAAGCCCAUCUUCCAGCCAUGAGCAGCCUGGCAGCCGUGUGCCACAGGAUCUGAGGAAGCCUUGGUCUUCUUGGUGAUGGCUCCCUUCUCUGAUCAUUUCAAGAUGGAUCCCUAUGUAGAGAUGCCUGCCUCUGUUCCUGAGCAGCCCGGGGAGCAGCUGAGUGAAGAACCUGCCUAGAAGAGGAAGGGCCUUUCUGGUAGAGGCUUAGAGAGUGGUGGUGUGGCUCAGGUCUUCUGGCCCCGCCACAGAAAAGAUGCCAGUGUACCUCAGGCACUGAUAUCUCCUAGCAACACUGUGAGGGAGGCGUAUUCUCUCAUCUCAUGAACACAAUGGGCAUCAAGGACCGGGCUGGGAUUUGCCCUUGUUACACACAGAAGAGGGGGAAACUCAGUCUGCCCUGGACCUGCAUUCCCCAACCCCUUCUGCAGUCUUCUUGAUGACCUGGGAGGAAGCUGGGGUGGGGAGGGAGUAGAGAGCUGCCAGGGGACCUAGGGAGAAAGAGAGGCUGUGGGUUAGGGAAGCUGGGCAUCUGCCUUUCUGUGGAGUGUGCUAUGGAAAGAAAUCAUGUUGAAGACAGGAAUAGCUGUGGUGGAGGACCUAGUAAUAGAAUCUCAACUCCCUGGUAAGCCACUUACUCUCAACAGAGCCAAAUAUCCCACCUCCCUAGAGCUUACUAUGGGCUCCUGAGCAGUUCUGUGAUGCAGACCUCUCAGCUGGUGAUGAUGGCAUUGUGGUUCCUAGGUUCUGGCUGCUACCAGGAGAGUGAAGAUCUUGAGAGCCUUGGCACCACCCCGUUUCUGUGUGCUCAGCCUUAGAAGCUCCAUCCCUGGAAUCACAUGGGGAAAUAUCAUACAGAUGGGUUUAGGACAGUACAGGGGACUUUGGGUGGGGUGCCCAAAUGGCUGGGAAUGACUGAAGGGACACCCAUCUCCUAUUUCCCUCAGUUCUUCUGGCACUGAUAGCUCGAGGUCCAUGUAUCCGGUUCUUGGGAUGGAAACCUUCAAGACACUAAGUGGCCCCAGGGACAGAGUGGCCUCAGUGUCCACUAAGAGUCAAGGACCAGAGGAAGAUCUCCAUAUCUCUCACUUCAGAAUGCACGAUUAAGGAGGAGCUUCACAGGUUUACUGGCCUUACUUUAGAAGAAGGACCUUGACCUACUGGAGAAAUGAGUAUGGAGACAGAGGCCCUGCCUUCUUAGACCUCCUGCUCCAGGAAGCCCCUCCCUGAUCAUGUCCAGGCAUGGGCUACGGUGUGAGGUCAGAGGCACUGACAAUGGACUGGACUCUGGGCCAGGAGAUGGGGGUAGAACUAGGACUCUGCUUUGUGUGUCUCAUUCUGACCCUGAGUAGUUUGUGAGCCUCUGUUUUCCAUGCCCCCUUGGCUACCUUUCUUCCUCCAGGAUGGCCUGGCUGUGUGAUGGGGUCAUGAUGCACUUUAUCUCCUUGCUGUCUGUACUGCAGGCAGCGGAGCGUCAAUCAGCUCAGAGACUGGACUUGGAUGGCCACAUACUUCCAUGUGUGAUGAACUCUUCACUGUCAGUGCCGUCUGGUCAGAGAUGUCGUUUCUGAUGUUGCCACAUGUUGUUGUCUCUCAGAGUUAAAAGAAAAUCCUCCAGUCAGUACACCAAAUACAGCCUGGAUGCCUCCUGUUUUUCUCAGGGUCUGGACUCAAUGUGUUUAAUUCAAGUUGAGCCUGAAGAGAAAGGGGAAAUGCAAGAAUGUUCUGUAGGCCACUCUGUGCAACCCAGAGAUUCAUCUGCAGGAGCAGGGGGUAAAGUCCUUACUGCUGUCUUCCCGGGAGCAUGCGAGGAACCCGUGACAAAAUGAACCACCUGCCACAAGCUGGAGCUGGAUCCUGCUUUUCUCUCAUGACUUUACCUCUGUUCUCUCAGAACUCCAUUCUGAGGGGUUACCAGAGAAACCAGGAGCCCCCAGGCUGAGGCUGGAAAUUGGAACAGGAAGUAUCCACAUCAUCUCAUAACAAUCUACAACUCCAGUCCCAGGGGAUCCGGCGUUCUCUUCUGCCUCUUCUUGGACCAAGAGUGCCCUUGCUGCUUCGAACACAUACUCAGGCUAAUCACAGAAAAUUAUUUUGAGGAGCGGGCAAUUUUUACUAAUAGAGAAGAGUAGAGAUUAUGCAUAUGAUAUGGUUGGAGAGCUGAAUACUGGAAAGAGGUUCUGGUGAAGGUGGGAUCCCAAAUAGGUUUCGAGGAGGAUCUGGGGAAGUUUGGAGUCUGGGGGAGAGCAGAUGAAGUCAAGGGCAGCUUAAGAUGUGAUGUGAGGGUAACGAAUCAGAGAGGGAUGAAGGAAAUGGGGAAGCUAAAAGCAGAUAAUUUGGAGCGUUGUUGAAGGCUAUUAGGGGCCUGAGAAAAAGGCAAGGUACGUGCUGCAGACAGGUUUAUUAGUCAGGGAGAACAGAAACUAGGCUUGGUUGGCCAAGAAGAAAACAGAUGGGUGCAGUAGAAGUCUGAGGUUGCCAGGAUCAGAACAUGGAUGGAGGUUCGGGGUGGUCAUAGUUAUCUGGGAAGGAGGGCAAGGUGUCCACUGGUAGAUCCAGAGGUGGUCGAAGGACACCAAGUCUAGGCAAGAGGACAGGAGUUUGAGGGUGAAAGUAAGGGGCUCCAGUAGGUCCCAAGAGCCAUGGAGAGAUGAGCAGACCAUGUGGCAGAUGUCAGGAGUGUUCCAGACUUGGUAGGAAGGAUAAAUGCUCCUGAGGAGAGGAGGAGGCUCAGGGGAAGCAGAAGAAUGAUGAGGAUAUGUGACUAGAAGAGGAGGGGGAGGAAAUGCCUCUGGAACAGGUCAGGAGAAGGAUGGGAAGAAGGGCAGGGUACGCAGUAGGAAAGCAGGAGACAAAGGGGAAUGCAGGAUGGACAGGGAGUUGGGAGAUGUCAGGAGGAGGGGCAGAAGGUUGGAAGUGAUGGCAGAAGUCCGGAAGAUUGGAAAUGCUGGGUCUAGAAGAAUGACGCUGGAGAGAGGAAAGCAGUUUUUCAGCGGGUGAGAAGGCUGGGCUGAAGUUCUUGGAGAUAAAGACACUGCAUUCCAAUUCUGGGGCAUCUAGAAAUGUCUGCUACAAGGCCAAAAAACAAAAAAAAAAAAUCCAGUGGAAGCUUAGAAUGGAGGGCAGACAGAAAGAGAAGACGUCAAUCGGCAAAGAGCAGGAUAUCUAGAUGAGUAAAGGCCAGCAUCUGUGUUAAAAUGUCAGCAUGUCACAUAAGAGAGAAAAUGCCUGGGGAAAAAGGCAGGAAGCUUAGGACUCUUGGGUUGGAGACUGUGGUAAGGCAGAAAUCUAGGUAUCAUGGCUGAGUAAAGUGAGUGCAAAGGAGGGAGGAAGUCUGGGGAGGAUGGCAAGACUCUGAUCUAGAUGGCAGGAGGUGGGGGGGCGUGCCUAGGCAGGGGAAGACAAGAUAUUGAAAGGGAGGACUGCGGGCUAGGAAGAUGACAGGAUGGCCAGGCUCGGCAUAGGCCCCUGCAGUUGAGGACAAAUGUUUGGGAUCAUAGGUGUCUGUGUCGAAGGGCAGGUUCUUGACAGUAGCAUGGAUGCCUGUGUGGAAAUUCAGUGACUACCGUGUAGGGCCCGGGUCUGCCCCUGCUCCUGGGGUGCAUCUUGAGGACUGAUCUCCUUUCGAAUGACCCAGGUCUCUUCUGUGUUCUUUCAGUCUCCAGGCCCUUGCCCGACUCGCGGAUGGUACAGUGGCGCCCGAACUGUACCGAGGGGGUAACACAAAAUCGGGUGUUACACUGUGUCGCAGGGCACAGUGGUCCUGAGGAGGACGGGACACUCACCAGGAGCACCACAGACUGGGAAGAAAGGCAGAGAGACAUGAAGUUAUGAGGGCAGAAGGGCAGGGACUAUAGAGAAGAAAAUAUCGUGAAACUGUAGGAGGCUAAGGAAGGGCAGAGUGCGGGACAGGAGGGUUGCAUGCUUGGGAGGACAGCAGGAGUCUGAGACUGCAGGAGAGAGGCGGUCAAGGGGACAAACAUGACUAAUAUUGUGGAAUUGCAGUCUUGUACAAAGGGUAGGAGUUCGAGAAGAAAGCAAGAUGCAUGGUGCAGAGAGGAUCAUGAACCAGGGUGGUGGACACUAUGUGGGUAAGAAAAAAAAGAUAUGAGAUAGAGUUAAGGGUGCCUGUGUACAGGAAGAGUCAAAGUCUGGGAUGGGCAGGAAGCCAGGGAAGGGGGAAGAAUGCUCUCUUCCCCCACACAGAGGGGAGUGGCCCAUAGAUUGGGUAAGGUGACUGGAAGGGGCAGAAAGUUACACAGGACAGGAGUAUGUGCAGGUGAUCAGGAUGCCACAUGGGGAGAGAGGCCACAAGGAGAGUGAAGAUGCAUGCAGGAGGAUGACGGGGAUGAUCGGAGGCCUGAGUUAGGCAGGAGGCUGAGGGGACAAGGGUGAACAGUGGAGAAGAAGACGCGUCAGGGAGGGCUUAUAAAGGCUCAUAGAAAAGUGGGAGCCUGCUGCAGGAAAGUGGGCUAACAAAUAGACAUGCGCACCUUCAGUUAGCCUGGGAGACUCUUGAGCUGGGUGUCUGUCUCAGCACCCAGGAGCUGCCUGCUCCUGCACAGGCCCGCAGUUUGAUGUCAGACAGGCACAUGGGGCGCACAACGGUCUGCAACUCCAUCCACAGGGCAACUCAAACACUCUUCUGGCCUAUCCUGGGACCAGGGAUACAGUUGCUGCUUAGAACAAAUACACAGGCAUUCACAGAAAAUGUGUAAUGAUUCUCAAGGCAGGGAGUUUUACUAAUAGGGAAGAGUUUAGCCUACCCAUGUGAUAGGUCAAGAACUGGGUACUGGAGGGAGGGUCUGGUGAGGGUGGGCCUCUAAAUAGGGUUUAGAGGAGGAUCUGGGGUGCAUAGGAGACUUGGACAGAAGGGAGGAAGUCAAGGACAGCUUAGGAUCCAAUGCUAGUGUAAUGGACCCAGCUUAUGGGGGAGGGAAGGUGCCUGAGGGUAGAUGGGUUUCCGCUCAAAUCAUGGAUUUUAGGUGCCUGAGUGGGCAAAAAUAUCUGUGGAGAAGUGUAAGAUGCCUGCAGUUAGGUCCAGAAUCUGGAGGGGUGCAAAGUCUGCUCAAGAGGGCAGGAGGCUCAGGGGGAAGGUAAUAGGCCUCAGGGGGGGAGGCCACUGGGAAAUAUGUUAGGAGCAUUAGAGGCUGGGCAUGAGGGCCCAGUGCUCCCGCGAAGGAUGUGCAGCUCUGGGAAGGCAGAAGGGUGGUGAGUAUAGAGUUCUACAAGGGGAGAGAAUGAGGAUGGGAAAAGCAGAAUCCUGGGGAGCUGGCUAGGAACGUGUGGGGGAGGGCAUAAGGCACAGUGGAACUGCAAGACACUAAGGCAGAAUGCCUGAGGGAAGGAGGGCUGAGCAAAUUGGGGGAGGGGCAGGAGUUUGGAAGUGAUGGCAGAAGUCGGGAAGGUUGAAAUGCUGGUGGUGUGGGGACAGGAUGUGAAAGAUGGGGUAGUUUGUUUAAGGCAUAUGAGGAGGCUGGGAGGAGGGAAGUACAUUUCUGGGGGAAGAUUAGGGCUCUGGGUUCUAAAAGCAGUUCCGGGAUGCUUAGGAAUCUGUGUGCCAGACAAGGAGGAUCGGUUGAGACUGUAGGCAGGCGUAUGGAGGGUGGGAAGAGAGGUCAGUUGAUUAGGACAAUGUAGCUGUCCAGGGGAAGGCCAACUUCUGGGUUGAAAUGGUGGAGACUUGGGGCAAGAGGACAAAUGACUGGAGAGGAGGAGGAAAGGAAAAGGACUCGGGUCAAAGGCUAAGAUAAAUUCAGAAUCUAGGUGUCAGGGUUCUGAAUGGCGACAUUAAAGGAGGGAAGUCUUGGGAGGCUGGCAAGGCUCUGUGCAGGACAGGAACCUCAGAGUAAGUCAGGAAUGUGAGAGAGAUAGUGCUAGGCUAGACGAUGACCGAAGGAGCAUAGGUCCUUGAGAUGAAGGGCAAGUUUCUGAGAGCUUAGGGGUCCAUGUGGAAGAGCAGACUGAUCACAGGAGCUCAAAAACCUGAGAAGAGGUUCAGAGCUCUUCACGGGCAUAGUGCUGCUGCUGAGGGCAGGACACGCAACAGGAGGACAAAAGACUGGGGUGAGGUAAAAGACUGGCUUGAGGUUCAGGGAGAAGAAAUGGCUAGGAGCACAGAGGAGGAAGAGGCUACAGAGGACAAGAGACAUGGGACAGCCGGCUAAGGGAAGGGGGCUGGAGAGGAGAGCCACGUGUGACAGUUUAUAAGGACAGGGCAGCAGCAGAGAGAAGGAUCAAGGGGUUCUGAAAGAAGGAGGCCAUUGUAGUUCUCAAGUUUGACCUGAGUCUAGGGGAAAGGAGGAUUAGGGUUGCCUGAGGGCAACAGGGCAUCAUAGCAACCUGGGCUGGGGGGAGUCAAAUGCUUAGCUUCGGAGCCAGGCAGGUAGGCACAGAGGGUUGGGAAGUGGCUUUGAUGAAGGGCAGAACUGCAGGGGAGGACACAAGCCUAGGAAGGAGGACAGAAAUCUGUUGUAGGUCAACAGGAGGUAGAAUAUGAAAGUCAAGGAGGAACGCCCGGCCGUGGUGGCACACGCCUUUAAUCCCAGCACUUGGGAGGCAGAGGCAGGCCGGUCUCUGUGAGUUCGAGGCUAGCCUGGUCUACAGCUAGUUCCAGGACAG